rnacentral:rRNA from 1 species
GUCUAUGGCCAUGCUACCCUGAACAAGCCCGAUCCCGUCUGAUCUCGAAAGCUAAGCAGGGUUGGGCCUGGUUAGUACUUGGAUGGGAGACCACAUAGGAAGAGCAGGUGCUGUAGGUG